UGGGGAAUAUUGCACAAUGGGCGCAAGCCUGAUGCAGCCAUGCCGCGUGUAUGAAGAAGGCCUUCGGGUUGUAAAGUACUUUCAGCGGGAAGGAAGGUGUUGAGGUUAAUAACCUCAGCAAUUGACGUUACCCGCAGAAGAAGCACCGGCUAACUCCGUGCCAGCAGCCGCGGUAAUACGGAGGGGGCAAGCGUUAAUCGGAAUUACUGGGCGUAAAGCGCACGCAGGCGGUCUGUCAAGUCGGAUGUGAAAUCCCCGGGCUCAACCUGGGAACUGCAUUCGAAACUGGCAGGCUAGAGUCUUGUAGAGGGGGGUAGAAUUCCAGGUGUAGCGGUGAAAUGCGUAGAGAUCUGGAGGAAUACCGGUGGCGAAGGCGGCCCCCUGGACAAAGACUGACGCUCAGGUGCGAAAGCGUGGGGAGCAAACA
rnacentral:rRNA from 1 species